rnacentral:rRNA from 1 species
UACGGGGGGAGCAAGCGUUGUUCGGAUUUACUGGGCGUAAAGGGCGCGUAGGCGGCGUGACAAGUCACUUGUGAAAUCUCCGGGCUUAACUCGGAACGGUCAAGUGAUACUGUCGUGCUAGAGUACAGAAGGGGCAACCGGAAUUCUCGGUGUAGCGGUGAAAUGCGUAGAUAUCGAGAGGAACACCAGUGGCGAAGGCGACUACCUGGCCUGUUCUUGACGCUGAGGCGCGAAAGCUAGGGGAGCAAACGGG